UGGAAAUCUCAGCUGAGAGCCAUGUCCCUUAUAGAGACUAAUUCCACUGAUCUCUACAGCACCAUUGUACCGGAGGGCUGUAACCACAGCUAUGUGACAAACAUGUGGAUGUGCAGCGUGAAUCCUGACAUCACAUGGAAGAUCAAACUUUUGCUGCAGUACCAGGCAGUAGACCUUGUAGAUGGGUCCUCUGUUUCACUGGCAAAAAGACUGGAGUCAGGAAUAAGGCCGCGGGUUGGAUCCUUGGGUUCUUUUUCCACUGAUGAAAUGAAGGCACACAGCCAUUACUAAUGGCCUUGGAAGACAGCCGCAGCAGGAACUACCGCAGUCACCAACUCCAUCUAGUGGGAAGAAAUCAGAAACAAAUGCUAUAGCUUAUGCAUACAAUUUAGACAAGCAUAAGCCGUGCAUACCUGCAUGUUCACGACUUGGAUUUGAACAUCUCUUUCACAAAAAGUCAAAGAUGUUAAAGUAGAAAGAAUGGCGACAGUUGGAAGAAAGUGGGCUAGUAGCUAAUGAAUCUGGAGAUGUCUGGCAAUGUCUGUGAUAUGUGUCUUUGGCUGACCUGGAGACCCACCAAAGGUGCAUUUAAUAAAACAGCAUCGCAUUGCUGAGAAGUGAGUUCACCAUGUAACACUUUUUGCUGGUGUGCAUAAAAUGAAGACUAAACCAAGG
ensembl:lncRNA